rnacentral:rRNA from 1 species
UACGAGGGGGGCAAGCGUUGUUCGGAUUCAUUGGGCGUAAAGGGUGCGUAGGUGGCGCUGUAAGUCGGGUGUGAAAUUUCGGAGCUUAACUCCGAAACUGCAUUCGAUACUGCCGUGCUUGAGGACUGGAGAGGAGACUGGAAUUUACGGUGUAGCGGUGAAAUGCGUAGAUAUCGUAAGGAAGACCAGUGGCGAAGGCGGGUCUCUGGACAGUUCCUGACGCUGAGGCACGAAGGCCAGGGGAGCAAACGGG